GGGGUCUGGGGGACUGGGAACAGCCCCGGGAGUGACGGGGUCAGAGCAAUGCCCCAGGGCUGGGGGACAGGGGGACAAAACCGCAGUGCUCCCAGGCUGGGCAUGAGCAGGAGCAUCCUUAACCUGCUGCAAUCCUUGUGACCCACCUUGGUCCUGAUCCAGUGAACCCCCACAGCCCCGGGGGCGAGCACGGCUGCCAAGGGUGGCUCCUGGACCCAGGCUCCUCUGGGUCAUCCCUCACGACAGGGAGCUGAGGAGCCACUGCCUGGCUCCGUGGAGGGCACUGUCCCACCACUGCCCCCCGGCCACGCUGGGCUCCUGGGGGGGACAAACUCGGGUGGAGAGGGAAUGUGGGCACUGCUCCAAGGUGGGCACCUCUGUGAGGCGGGUCCAGGAUGGAUGGGCUGUGCCAGGCUUGAGGGUCUGUGCCGUGUCACCCUCAGCUCUGUGGUGACACUGUGCACUGUGGGCUGUGCCAGUGCCACCUGCACAGUGCCACCAUCCACGGUGGGUGUGCUGUGCCAGUGCCACCUGCACAGUGCCACCAGCCACGGUGGGUGUGCUGUGCUGGGAUGGAGGGGCUGUGCUGUGUCACCCUCACCUCCACGGUGGCGCUGUCCCCAGUGUGCUGUGCCAGCCUCACCCCCACACGGUGACACUCGGUGACACCCUGGCCAGUGUGUCCCCGGGCAGUGUCUGGCUGGACAGACCCACAGGCGCCGUGAGGGAGGAUCCCCGUGAGGAGCAGACGGAUUCCAGAUCCCACCAGGCCUGGCUGGGCUCACUCCUGGGCUGCCCACCCCGCUCAGCGUGUCCCUGCAUGCCCCCUUGGGGGUGGCCCUCCCCAUCCUGCCGUGCCCCUUGCGUGCUCUGCCCUGCCUCACCCCUCUGGGAUUCCCAGUCCCCUCUAACAUCCCCGUCCUCCCACAGCCAUUUCCUCUCCUCAUUCCGAGCACAGAUGCCCAUCUGUGCCCAUCCUGUCUCAGCAAUGCCCAUCCCACGGGAAGCUUACACCCAGCCUCUGCCCGUGCCAGGACAUCCCACCUGUCCUCGGGGUUUGCUCGGACACCAGCAUCCCCUCUCUGCUCCCCCAGCACACCCCUCUCCCCAUCCCACCCUCUUCACUGCCGUGUCCACGUCCCCAGUGCUUUAUGCACGGCUUGCCCUGUCCUGGAGCUCCGUGCUGGGAGGGAUGGCAAAGCCCAAACCCGCCGUGCAGGGUGUUUGCAGCGCGGCAGGGCGAUGGAAAUGCUGCAGCCAGGGGGAGAUCUGAGGAUUCCACGCUGGUGAGCUGCUCACUGUCCCCGCCGGGAUGGCUGCUGGCUCCCGCCACCGCCCCUCCGUUCCUAAUCUCCCGAGUGAGCCGAGAAUUAAUUAUUAAUUAAUGAUUCGGCGGCUCCCAGGAUGCCUCAGGAACAUCCGAUCCGUGCGGAGCUGCGGCUUUGGCUGCCCCUGCCCCGGGAGAGAGCCGGCUGCACCCCGAGGGAACCUGGAGUUGGCACGUGGGUGAAUCCGUCUCCAGAAGAAAUCAGUUCCUGCUGGAAGCAGCCAGAGCCACGAGGGAAGGGUGGUGGGAGUGCUGGGGGUCGCUGGGGAGAGCCCUGUGCCACGCUGGAUGCCAGGGGACGGCGACAGGGCCGGCCUGACCUUGCCACAGCCACUGGCACAGUGGCACCGGUUCUCCUGCACGCAGAUGGAAACCAGGAGCUGGGGGUGAUAACUGGGGCGUUUCACCCCAAAUCCCACCCUGGGCAGCUCCUCUGAAGGAGCUGUUGGAGCAGGAGUGGCUGGGAGCCGUCACCCCGUGUGCAGGGGUACCUCGUGGGGACAGGGAAGGAGCAAACCCUGGAGCAGCCCAUGCACCUCCAGCAGACAUCCCGGGGUGUCCCAGGUGUGUCCAGGGUGGCAGGAUGUGCUGCACCCCUGGCCUGGCAGAGGCAGGAGAGGGUGACAAGGGGGGACAGGCACCCACCACCCCCGGGUGACACUCACAUGGGACCCUGUGGAAGCAGGGGCUGCAUCCCUGUUAUGAACGGCCACGCUGGGAGAUCGCAGGCACUGGCAAGAGGCUUAACUUUAAAAAAAAAAAAGGUUUAUUUAUUUCAAGAU